GUCCGUAGCUCAGCUGGAUAGAGUACCUGGCUACGAACCAGGCGGUCAGAGGUUCGAAUCCUCUCGGAC
rnacentral:tRNA from 2 species